AUUUAUAUAAUAUAAAAAGUAUAAUUGAUUUCCAAUCAAAAAGUCUAAAAUUUUAGUAUAAAUA
rnacentral:tRNA from 1 species